GGAGAGUUUGAUCCUGGCUCAGAGUUAACGCUGGCAUCGUGCAUAACACAUGCAAGUCGAACGGGACUUUGAUUUGUAGCAAUACAGAUUAAAGUUUAGUGGCAGACGGGUGAGUAAUGUAUAAGGAAUCCACCUUUAAGUGGGGAAUAACAAUCCGAAAGGGUUGCUAAUACCCCAUAAUAUCCUUAAGUGGCAUCACAUAGGGAUUAAAGAUUUAUCGCUUGAAGACGACCUUAUAUUCUAUCAGCUAGUUGGCAGUGUAACGGACUACCAAGGCGACGACGGAUAGCCGGCCUGAAAGGGCGACCGGCCACAAGGGCACUGAGACACGGGCCCUACUCCUACGGGAGGCAGCAGUGGGGAAUUUUGGACAAUGGGCGCAAGCCUGAUCCAGCAACGAUGCGUGGAGGAUGAAGGUUUUCGGAUUGUAAACUCCUUUUAAGGGGGACGAAACAAAUGACGGUACCCCUUGAAUAAGCCACGGCUAACUACGUGCCAGCAGCCGCGGUAAGACGUAGGUGGCAAGCGUUACUCGGAAUUACUAGGCGUAAAGCGCGCGUAGGCGGGAUGUUAAGUCUGUUGUGUAAUCUCUGGGCUCAACCCAGAAACUGCAACGGAAACUGGCGUUCUUGAGUGAGGCAGAGGAAAUCGGAAUUCCUAGUGUAGCAGUGAAAUGCGUAGAUAUUAGGAGGAACACCGGUGGCGAAGGCGGAUUUCUGGGCCUUUACUGACGCUAAAGUGCGAAAGCUAGGGGAGCAAACGGGAUUAGAUACCCCGGUAGUCCUAGCCGUAAACGAUGAUAACUAGGUGUGGGAGGUAUCGACCCCUUCCGUGCCGCCGCUAACGCAUUAAGUUAUCCGCCUGGGGAGUACGGCCGCAAGGUUAAAACUCAAAGGAAUUGACGGGGACCCGCACAAGAGGUGGAGUAUGUGGUUUAAUUCGACGCUACGCGAAAAACCUUACCUGGGCUCGAACGACUGGUGGUAGUUCUUAUGAAAGUAGGGGCGACCCGCAAGGGAGCCAGCCGAGGUGCUGCAUGGUUGUCGUCAGCUCGUGUCGUGAGAUGUUGGGUUAAGUCCCGCAACG
rnacentral:rRNA from 1 species